AUGAGUGGUCAUUGCUCUUGCAUGUUAUUUCAGACACGUGGAAUUCCAUGCCGACAUAUCAUUGUUGUUUUGAGAGGUGCAAAGAAGAAUGAGCUACCUAGCCAUUUUAUUCUAGAUAGGUGGAAGAAAACAGUUAACAGGAGGGUACUAUAUGAUAGCUACGGCAACUUGCUUGAAGAGAAUGAAAGGUUGUUGCCAAUCAUCCUAGUAGACAAGAUGAGUUUGAGGCAUAUAUUGGUUGUACUAUGCCUAAUCAAGUUGAAAUUCAUCCACCAACAGAUGUCCAUACAAAAGGGAGAUGCAAAAGAAUUAAGGGGCACUUAG
rnacentral:rRNA from 1 species